rnacentral:tRNA from 1 species
GGAAGGGUGGCCGAGUUGGUUGGUUAUGGCGCCAGGUUAAGGUCAGACAUCUGUUUCCUGGUGGGGCAACCCGCGCGAGUUCGAGUCUCGUCCCUUUCA